GUGCCUAAUACAUGCAAGUUGAGCGAUGAAGAUUGGUGCUUGCACCAAUUUGAAGAGCAGCGAACGGGUGAGUAACGCGUGGGGAAUCUGCCUUUGAGCGGGGGACAACAUUUGGAAACGAAUGCUAAUACCGCAUAACAACUUUAAACAUAAGUUUUAAGUUUGAAAGAUGCAAUUGCAUCACUCAAAGAUGAUCCCGCGUUGUAUUAGCUAGUUGGUGAGGUAAAGGCUCACCAAGGCGAUGAUACAUAGCCGACCUGAGAGGGUGAUCGGCCACAUUGGGACUGAGACACGGCCCAAACUCCUACGGGAGGCAGCAGUAGGGAAUCUUCGGCAAUGGACGAAAGUCUGACCGAGCAACGCCGCGUGAGUGAAGAAGGUUUUCGGAUCGUAAAACUCUGUUGGUAGAGAAGAACGUUGGUGAGAGUGGAAAGCUCAUCAAGUGACGGUAACUACCCAGAAAGGGACGGCUAACUACGUGCCAGCAGCCGCGGUAAUACGUAGGUCCCGAGCGUUGUCCGGAUUUAUUGGGCGUAAAGCGAGCGCAGGUGGUUUAUUAAGUCUGGUGUAAAAGGCAGUGGCUCAACCAUUGUAUGCAUUGGAAACUGGUAGACUUGAGUGCAGGAGAGGAGAGUGGAAUUCCAUGUGUAGCGGUGAAAUGCGUAGAUAUAUGGAGGAACAUCCGG
rnacentral:rRNA from 2 species